UGCUGGUCAUGAAGCUCCCCAUCUCAGAACACUGGGCCCUGCCUGGGGUAAGCCAUCGCCAGCU